UGAGGCCUCCGUGGCCCAUCCAGCAGCCUGUGAGGGUGACCCCACUCCAGUCAGCCUCUUAGUCAGGGUGGCCGAGGUGACGGGCUCCAGCGUAGCGGGCGACUCCAAAGUGGGGCAAGGAGGAGGUGCAGGGCUGGCUAGGAUAGGGGGUGAGGGGCACGUGCAGAGGGUGGCCUGAGACCAGCUGCCACCAGGGGGGUCCCUACCCUGCCCGGUGCUGCCCCAAACACUGCUGCCUGAACACUGCAGACACACAUGGCCAGCAGGCACAGGGAUUCCAAAUGGGGACAAACUCGGGGCCCCGGGGAAGUAGGGGGGAACCGAUCAGUAUGAGCUGUAUGGCUGCUAAUUAAGUCCUGAUCCCCUGGCUCCACUUGAAACCAAUUAGGGAAGGGGAUCGAGUUCUGAGAGCAGGUGCUAACUGGUUGCAAAAGCCACGUCGGUCACUUCAGGAAAAGGUUUCGCAGGUAGCUCCAGUGAGGACCAGCUCAGGGAGCCCAGGCUUUGCCGAGAAAAUUCAUCACUGAACGUUGCCUCACGACACCAGGAGCGCGGAAGAACCCUCCUCUUCCUGUCAAAAAGAACUGUUUUCCCAUCCUCUGUUUUCCCCUCGGUAGCUGACUUUCUCCUUGCGUGGACAAUGGUGUAAUUUAGAAGCGAGUAAAUACUCUCCCGGAGAUGCCAGCGGCAGCCUCUUUGCAGCACAGACAAUAUGGUAUUUGUUGGGGCUCAAAUGCCAGUCCAGAGUUGGCCCCACACAAUCCGGCUCUCUCCUUUCCCAGACUGUUGAAGGAAAAAAAAAAAGAUUCUGAUCACACAUGUGUAAACACACUUCAUUGCAAAUAUUUAUUUGAAGGAAGCCUGAGAGUUCUGGUCUUCCUUUGAUCUUCGUGGGACAUGUUCUUAAUCCUGGCAGCAUGGGACCUACAUUUGGCACAUUUUGAUGAAGCUCCAGGCAAGUUGGCUGAAGUUGCUGGCACUGACUCCAGGAAUCAUUAUCAACAUAAUUUCCUUUUUCUUAUGACAUGUAAUCCCUUUCCUAGCCUCACACCCGGAUCUUCCGACUACUCUUGGUAUUGGGAGCCUGCUGCUUUGAGUCAUGCAUCUAACCUCCGUGCACAGGCUUUCUCUGGAAUGCAUUCUGUGUUUAUCGCACUAUUUAUUAGUUUUAUAGCAACAGAGCCGAGUUCUUCUUUGGUGUCUUUCUUUGGAUUGUGCACGCUGUUCAGCCCCAUAGAAAGAGUGGUUAGGAUUUUCGUUAGCACCUGAACUAACUUGAAAGAUAAUUGAAAGCGUGGAUAUUUAUGUGAAACAUUGUUUUAUGAUUGUUGAUUAAAAAAAUUAUUUCCC